rnacentral:rRNA from 1 species
GAUGAACGCUGGCGGCGUGCCUAAUACAUGCAAGUCGAGCGAACAGACGAGGAGCUUGCUCCUCUGACGUUAGCGGCGGACGGGUGAGUAACACGUGGAUAACCUACCUAUAAGACUGGGAUAACUUCGGGAAACCGGAGCUAAUACCGGAUAAUAUAUUGAACCGCAUGGUUCAAUAGUGAAAGACGGUUUUGCUGUCACUUAUAGAUGGAUCCGCGCCGCAUUAGCUAGUUGGUAAGGUAACGGCUUACCAAGGCGACGAUGCGUAGCCGACCUGAGAGGGGUGUCCGCCCCCCCUGGACCUGAGCACCGUUCAGACUCCUACGGGAGGCAGCAGUAGGGAAUCUUCCGCAAUGGGCGAAAGCCUGACGGAGCAACGCCGCGUGGGUGAUGAAGGUCUUCGGAUCGUAAAACUCUGUUAUUAGGGAAGAACAAAUGUGUAAGUAACUAUGCACGUCUUGACGGUACCUAAUCAGAAAGCCACGGCUAACUACGUG